GCGCAUGCACACACGCCGGCUGCGGCCAAUUCUCGCGGGACCCGGCGUUCUCGCUAUAAAAAGUCACCAGAGGGGCUCUUCCUUCCUUUCCCAUUUGAUAACUGUGCAGGUGCAAGAAGUUGGUUGUCAGCUGGUAAGCAUAGUCUUCCACUCUGCAGCUGAAUGGCCUGGAAACAAUAACUGAAUGAAUGGAUAUCCUUGCAGGCAUCCAGGUGAGUACUGUGAAGAAUGGCAAAUGAACAGAUUUCAGAUGAGCCAGUUGAAAACAGAGGGGCAGUUCAGUCGUCUAGCUGAUCUUCCGUUGAGACGUGGAAGAAGUGUUCAUCAUUGUGGCCCGAAUCCCUGGCGGAGUGCUCCCUAAUACUUUGCAACCAGCUAAAGUAUGAAUAUAUGUUUUAUUUGGACCUGUGGAAGUGAAGGCAAUGAGAACCUAUGACAGUUUAAAUAAAUUAUUCGAUCCCUAGGCUUGUGCAAUAUGGGCAUUUUCAGAGGUAUCAUGCUUGGUAGAUAUGGACAAAUGAAUGUGUCAGACAGUAAAUUCUCUAAUCUCUGUUUAAAAUGACAAUAUCUAUACCAUGUUAUUUUACUGUAAAAAUUGUCGUUCU